rnacentral:rRNA from 1 species
UACAGAGGGUGCAAGCGUUAAUCGGAUUUACUGGGCGUAAAGCGUGUGUAGGUGGUUGGGAAAGUCAAUUGUGAAAGCCCAGGGCUUAACUCUGGAACUGCUUUUGAUACUGUCUGACUAGAAUUCGGUAGAGGGAGGCGGAACUCCAGGUGUAGCGGUGAAAUGCGUAGAUAUCUGGAAGAACACCAAUGGCGAAGGCAACCUCCUGGGCCUGAAUUGACACUGAGACACGAAAGCGUGGGGAUCAAACAGG